rnacentral:lncRNA from 1 species
AAUCUUUCUACAAUACCAUGCCUCAUAACCCCAAAAUCGGAUCAGAUCUGAAACAGAUCUUCUCCACCUUCCUCCAACCCUUCCUUGUGUCCAAAUCCCUCCACCUAAUUAGGAGAUCACCAUAAUCAAGGAUCUAACAGGAAAAAAUUAGGAAAAUCUGGUCACUGUAGAAAUUCGGGCUGAAAAUUGAUUUCGGCAUCUUCUUCUUUUCUCCAUGUAAUCGGGAUUUGAUACCAAUUAUUGAAGAAACUCCGAUAUGACCCACCCA